rnacentral:snoRNA from 1 species
CCCAGCGGUAGGUAACUGCCUAGGCUGCAUUGUACCCAGGCAAGUGUUACACUGCUGGGAGAAAAGCAGCUAAUAGCUGGUGGGCAUCCUGGGCCUGGUUAUUGCCAAAUUU